rnacentral:rRNA from 1 species
AUUGAACGCUGGCGGCAUGCUUUACACAUGCAAGUCGAACGGCAGCGCGGGCUUCGGCCUGGCGGCGAGUGGCGAACGGGUGAGUAAUGCAUCGGAACGUGCCCAGUAGUGGGGGAUAGCCCGGCGAAAGCCGGAUUAAUACCGCAUACGACCUGAGGGUGAAAGCGGGGGACCGAAAGGCCUCGCGCUAUUGGAGCGGCCGAUGUCGGAUUAGCUAGUUGGUGGGGUAAAGGCUUACCAAGGCGACGAUCCGUAGCUGGUCUGAGAGGACGACCAGCCACACUGGGACUGAGCCACGGCCCAGCCUCCUACGGGAGGAAGCAGUGGGGAAUUUUGGACAAUGGGGGCAACCCUGACCCAGCCAUGCCGCGUGCGGGAAGAAGGCCUUCGGGUGGUAAACCGCUUUUGUUCGGGAAGAAACCCUCUGGGCUAAUACCCCGGGGGGAUGACGGUACCGGAAGAAUAAGCACCGGCUAACUACGUG